rnacentral:rRNA from 1 species
UGGGGAAUCUUGGACAAUGGGCGCAAGCCUGAUCCAGCCAUGCCGCGUGAGCGAUGAAGGCCUUAGGGUUGUAAAGCUCUUUCACCGGUGAAGAUAAUGACGGUAGCCGGAGAAGAAGCCCCGGCUAACUCCGUGCCAGCAGCCGCGGUAAUACGGAGGGGGUUAGCGUUGUUCGGAAUUACUGGGCGUAAAGCGCACGUAGGCGGAUCGGAAAGUUGGGGGUGAAAUCCCGGGGGCUCAACCCCGGAACUGCCUCCAAAACUAUCGGUCUAGAGUUCGAGAGAGGUGAGUGGAAUUCCGAGUGUAGAGGUGAAAUUCGUAGAUAUUUGGAGGAACACCAGUGGCGAAGGCGGCUCACUGGCUCGAUACUGACGCUGAGGUGCGAAAGUGUGGGGAGCAAACAGGAUUAGAUACCCUGGUAGUCCACACCGUAAACGAUGAAUGCCAGUCGUCGGGUAGCAUGCUAUUCGGUGACACACCUAACGGAUUAAGCAUUCCGCCUGGGGAGUACGGUCGCAGAUUAAAACUCAAAGG